rnacentral:lncRNA from 1 species
UUUGGCUUUAGCGCGUUUAUGAUUAAAAUUGUAAGGAUUCUAUUUUAGGUUUUAAGAUUGAAUAAUAUCACAUAAAAUGAUUAAGUUAAAAGUCAAAAGACAGACAGUGGUUGCAAAAUCAUAGGACAUGUUAGAACCAGCUCGUGGCUCUGGUCCUCUAGAUUUACUUUGCAUUAUCACAGAUGCGGUGAAUUAGCAAAUUUCCUUAUCUAUUAUGGGAUACAAAAUGAUAUGACCAUGUUGGGCUCACAGUAGCAUCUUUGAUGUAAUAUUCCUCAGAAUUCAAACUCAAAAAAUGGUUCCGCAAAUUGGAAUUUAAACGACUUUCAAAAGGGACGUGCACUGCAUAUCUAGAUAUCAAUGAAUUCCUGUUUCGAUUUUAUCUCAUGUAUUCUAUGUAAUAUUAGGAAACUGAAAGAAGGCAUUAAGUUUGAAUGGGUUAUACUUUUUCCAUACAAUAACAAUUAUAGAGACUGAUGGGAAGAUAUUUUAUGAAAUCAUAAUUAAUACACUUCAAUGUAAGACCAUCAUGAUCAAAGUUUUAAAUAAAAACUACACUAUUCUAGACAUAGGUGGAGUGUGUCAGAUAUUCCUCUACAAUUUACCCUUCUUUAAAUUGGUUAUAGAAAGUACAAGGGCUAAUUUGAUAGCAAUUAUGUUACAAAUUAAUGGGUCAUAUUGUUCUUUUUGCAUAUAAUCAUUUGUUUAUUUUUAGUGGAUUCAUAUUAUAUGCAGGGUACAAAGUUGCUACAUGCACAAAGGAACUCCCUAACUUCCAUAAAGCCACAAGGGGAACAUUUUAUUUUUCAUUUUUUGUUUUUUUUUUUUCAGUUACUACUGUACUUUAUUGUGUUCCACCAAAUCACUAUGUUACAAAAAUAGCAAGC